rnacentral:rRNA from 1 species
UACGUAGGGGGCAAGCGUUGUCCGGAUUCAUUGGGCGUAAAGAGCGUGUAGGCGGCCAGGUAGGUCGGUUGUGAAAACUGGAGGCUCAACCUUCAGAGGUCGACCGAAACCAUCUGGCUAGAGUCCGGGAGAGGAGAGUGGAAUUCCAGGUGUAGCGGUGAAAUGCGCAGAUAUCAGGAGGAACACCGGUGGCGAAGGCGGGUCUCUGGGCCGAUACUGACGCUGGAGGAGCGAAAGCGUGGGGAGCGAACAGG